AUCAUAUAGAGAUUUAGAACACCAAAAUAACAAUUUGAUAAACAAACACUUGAUGAAGUUAAAUCACACACCACCCGUCACAUUAUGAAAGUUAGCUGUGCCUGAAGUCGCUACAUUAAUUGCAAGGAGGGGGAUGCCGACGACAUGGUUAGUGACUUGAUGAAAUCGUAGCAAGGUAGUUUGUAUUGGAAGGUGUGGUUGGAUCACCUCCAUU
rnacentral:ncRNA from 1 species